rnacentral:tRNA from 1 species
UCCGGCAUAGUGUAGGGGUUAACAUACCCCGCUUUCAAGACUCUUCUGUCUAUAUAAGCACCCGGGGAGCCCCGGGUUCGAUUCCCGGUACCGGAA